rnacentral:rRNA from 1 species
GAGUAACAGGUGGGUAACCUGCCCGGAAGCAGGGGAUAACACUUGGAAACAGGUGCUAAUACCGUAUAACAACUGAAACCGCAUGGUUUCAGUUUGAAAGAUGGUUUCGGCUAUCACUUCUGGAUGGACCCGCGGCGUAUUAGCUAGUUGGUGGAGUAAUGGUUCACCAAGGCAAUGAUACGUAGCCGACCUGAGAGGGUAAUCGGCCACAUUGGGACUGAGACACGGCCCAAACUCCUACGGGAGGCAGCAGUAGGGAAUCUUCCACAAUGGACGAAAGUCUGAUGGAGCAACGCCGCGUGAGUGAAGAAGGGUUUCGGCUCGUAAAACUCUGUUGUUGAAGAAGAACACAUCUGAGAGUAACUGUUCAGGUGUUGACGGUAUUUAACCAGAAAGCCACGGCUAACUACGUGCCAGCAGCCGCGGUAAUACGUAGGUGGCAAGCGUUGUCCGGACUUAUUGGGCGUAAAGCGAGCGCAGGCGGUUUCUUAAGUCUGAUGUGAAAGCCUUCGGCUUAACCGGAGAAGUGCAUCGGAAACUGGGAGACUUGAGUGCAGAAGAGGACAGUGGAACUCCAUGUGUAGCGGUGAAAUGC